rnacentral:lncRNA from 1 species
CAUUUACAGCCCUGCUAUGCCAUCAGCGGCAUCAUACGACCCAAUGGCCAGCAUCCACAAACGACAAAACAUUGCAAAAAAAAUAAAAACGAAAAUACCUCCUAAAAUACAAGAAAGAGGACACGUGGGAAGGUACAAGAGCAUACCGGAGAAUUGUCGACGCCAGCAAAUAUCUGUCUAGGAUCGAGCAGAGAAAAAUGCUGUAGAGGAGAGUAGGUAGGCGUCCGCCGUCUGCACAUUAAAAACAAGUUAAUAUCCAAGCUAAUAACCAGCAUCAUUCCUAUAUUUCAGGGGGUG